AGAGUUUGAUCCUGGCUCAGGAUGAACGCUGGCGGCGUGCUUAACACAUGCAAGUCGAACGGGAAACCUUUUAUUGAAGCUUCGGCAGAUUUAGCUGGUUUCUAGUGGCGGACGGGUGAGUAACGCGUGGGUAACCUGCCUUAUACAGGGGGAUAACAGUCAGAAAUGACUGCUAAUACCGCAUAAGCGCACAGAGCUGCAUGGCUCGGUGUGAAAAACUCCGGUGGUAUAAGAUGGACCCGCGUUGGAUUAGCUAGUUGGUGAGGUAACGGCCCACCAAGGCGACGAUCCAUAGCCGGCCUGAGAGGGUGAACGGCCACAUUGGGACUGAGACACGGCCCAGACUCCUACGGGAGGCAGCAGUGGGGAAUAUUGCACAAUGGGGGAAACCCUGAUGCAGCGACGCCGCGUGAAGGAAGAAGUAUCUCGGUAUGUAAACUUCUAUCAGCAGGGAAGAAAAUGACGGUACCUGACUAAGAAGCCCCGGCUAACUACGUGCCAGCAGCCGCGGU
rnacentral:rRNA from 1 species